CCUACGGGUGGCUGCAGUGGGGAAUAUUGCACAAUGGGCGAAAGCCUGAUGCAGCAACGCCGCGUGAGCGAUGAAGGCUUUCGGGUCGUAAAGCUCUGUCCUCAAGGAAGAUAAUGACGGUACUUGAGGAGGAAGCCCCGGCUAACUACGUGCCCGCAACCGCGGUAAUACGUAGGGGGCUAGCGUUAUCCGGAAUUACUGGGCGUAAAGUGUGCGUAGGUGGUUUAUAAAGUCGGAGGUGAAAGGCAACGGCUCAACCGUAGUAAGCCUUUGAAACAGGGGAGAUUGAGUGCAGGAGAGGAUAGUGGAAUUCCUAGUGUAGCGGUGAAAUGCGUAGAUAUUAGGAGGAACACCAGUGGCGAAGGCGACUUGCUGGACGGUAACUGACACUGAGGCACGAAAGCGUGGGGAGCAAACAGGAUUAGAUACCCCGGUAGUC
rnacentral:rRNA from 1 species